rnacentral:rRNA from 1 species
ACGGAAGGCAGCAGUGGGGAAUAUUGGGCAAUGGGCGAAAGCCUAACCCAGCAACGCCGCGUGAAGGAAGAAGGUCUUCGGAUUGUAAACUUCUUUUAUGAGGGACGAAGGACGUGACGGUACCUCAUGAAUAAGCCACGGCUAACUACGUGCCAGCAGCCGCGGUAAUACGUAGGUGGCAAGCGUUAUCCGGAUUUACUGGGUGUAAAGGGCGCGUAGGCGGGAAGGCAAGUCAGAUGUGAAAUCCAUGGGCUCAACCCAUGAACUGCAUUUGAAACUGUUUUUCUUGAGUGCUGGAGAGGUAGACGGAAUUCCUUGUGUAGCGGUGAAAUGCGUAGAUAUAAGGAAGAACACCAGUGGCGAAGGCGGUCUACUGGACAGUAACUGACGCUGAGGCGCGAAAGCGUGGGGAGCAAACAGGAUUAGAUACCCUGGUA